rnacentral:rRNA from 1 species
CGUGUAGGCUGUUCUGCAAGUCGGGUGUGAAAGCCCCGGGCUCAACCUGGGAAGUGCACUCGAAACUGCAGAACUCGAGUCCUGGAGAGGAAGGCGGAAUUCUCGGUGUAGAGGUGAAAUUCGUAGAUAUCGAGAGGAACACCGGUGGCGAAGGCGGCCUUCUGGACAGUGACUGACGCUGAGACGCGAAAGCGUGGGGAGCAAACAGGACUUAGAUACCCUGGUAGUCCACGCCGUAAACGAUGGGUGCUAGGUGUCGCGGGCUUUGACCCCUGCGGUGCCGCAGCUAACGCAUUAAGCACCCCGCCUGGGGAGUACGGCCGCAAGGCUAAA